GGGAAAUAUUACCAGGACUGAUCUGUUUUUGCGGCUAAAGUAAUGGGCUAAUACACGUUACCAAAGACUAUUGGCCGGAGUUCCACUGGAGGAUGGCGGCGUUGGCUGCUGGUUGCUGUUGCUGAGGGGGUCGUUGCUCGCCUGAGAAGAGGAGAGAAGGAAAUAGAGAAGAGAGGAGAGACAGACGGCCGCCGGGGCUGCUGGCUGGCGCAGGAGUUCUCGCCGGCGACUGCUGGCUGUUGCUGGUGGCGCUGGUGUCGCUGGAGCUGCAGAUCGAAUUCAAAGCUAGCUUUGCAGGGCUGCUGGUCGCUGAAGAGGAGAGAAGGAAAGAGGGGUCGCCGGAUGCUGUUGCUCGUCGAUUAAAGCUGCUGCUUGCCAUGGCCUCACCAAGCUGCUGGUCGUCGUCGUCUGCUGGCCGCUGCUGCUACUAUCGUGCGCCUCUCCAGGCGCUGCUGCUGCGCAGGCUGUUCUCGCCGGUGACUGCUGCUGCCGGUGGUCUGCUCAGAGUCGUCCUCUGCUCUCGCCUACAAAAAAAAUGGAGAGAAAGAAGGGGAAGGGAAGGAGAAGGGCGAGGAGAGAGAGGAGGCUGCCACCACUUGGAGGUGGCGAUUUCCACCGGAAAGAAUGGAGGGAGAGAGAGACGGCUGGAGAGAGGGAGAGGAGGAAGACGAGAGGGAGAGAGAG
rnacentral:misc_RNA from 1 species